rnacentral:rRNA from 1 species
AUUGAACGCUGGCGGCAGGCUUAACACAUGCAAGUCGAGCGAGCGGCGGACGGGUGAGUAAUGUAUGGGAAACUGCCUGAUGGAGGGGGAUAACUACUGGAAACGGUAGCUUAUACCGCAUACCAUCAGAUGUGCCAAGAUGGGAUUAGCUAGUAGUUGGGGUAAUGGUUCACCUAGGCGACGAUCCCUAGCUGGUCUGAGAGGAUGCCCAGCCACACUGUAACGGGUACACGGUCCAGACUCCUACGGGAGGCAGCAGUGGGGAAUAUUGCACAAUGGGCGCAAGCCUGAUGCAGCCAUGCCGCGUGUGUGAAGAAGGCCUUCGGUUUGUAAAGUUAUUUCGGUAGCGAGGCGUUAACUACAGAAGAAGCACCGGCUAACUCCGUGCCAGCCGCCGCGGUAAUUC